AUAGUUUUAACCCAAGUUGUUAUUGUUUUUGCCAUGCCCUUGUGUCAACGACUUAUAACGAAUUUCUAUUCCCAAAAAAUCCAUAGGACUACAGUUUCCACGGAUUUAUGUUUUUACGGCAGAAGGUGGGGUGAACGAUGGGAAGAGGGAGCCACCAAUUUACAGGAGCUGAAUUAGUAAAACCGCCAUGCAGCUCGUUCUAACUUGUCUUUUUUCCCUCCUCAGCUUCAAACUUGCUGGUAAGUGGUAAAUUACUUCCAGAUUUAAAAAAAAA